GCCCCUUGGGAAACUGGCCUCAUUCCUUGGCUACACCAUCUCCAUACGGGAUUCCUAACCUGUGGUGAGUAAAGAAUGUCACUUUCUGACAGGCCUAGGAACUCCAUGCUCUUGGAACCUCAAGAAGAAAGAAGUUUACCCAACUCACAGAGGCUAUCAAGCUCCAAGUGGUAAUGCAAAUGGAAUCACGUAUAAACAUGCGUUUCAUCUGAGGACCCUUAUACCAGCCCCUGGAGGAAUCCUAGCUGCUGUUCCCCACACAAUUCCCCUCUCCAGCAGGAAGUAGCCAGAAAGAUCAACACCCAUCUGCCUAACAGCAGUUAGGGUUUCCUCUCCUGAAGAGAGGAAUGAGAGAGAAGGAAAGGAAAAAUCAUUGGAAAAAUUCAGACAGCAGAAGCAGCCUGCCUGAAAAGUCACAUAGCAACAGGCAAAAAAUAAAACAGCCUUGGGAAAAACUUGGGGUGUACCUGGACAGAUAAGAAGAUCAGGUCAGGCUGUAAAACACAGAUAAACAACUCGGUCACAGAAGGAGGGGGCGAGUCUCCUGGAUAAUCACUAAACUUCACACUCAUACAGUGGGCCCCAGUAAAAACAGUGGGCCUUAAUAAGCACAUUCCUUUCCCUUUAGGCACACUAAGAUAGGGAAGCUAGAAGCGGACAUUGUGGGGGAAUGUCUGCAGCUGCAAGAAAAUGUCUGGGAACAGACACAGAAACUCUCCCUCCCAAAUAAGCGACACAAAGCAGCACACAGCAACACACACUAAAAGUCUGCCUAUGUGAUGAAGCAAUCAGGUAAAGGCUGAUAGAAACUCUGCUCUAUGCAUAUAGCAAACCUGGUCUCACCCAAAAUUUUCGGGCCCUAGGAGGAUAAGAUACCCCCUUUCUCACUAGCCCACGUAUAAAAACCCUGACAUUUUUACUACAACCUGGCAACUGCAACCUCUGCCACCCAGGUUCAAGCGAUUCUCCUGCCCCAGCCUCCAGAGUAGCAACCCUCUUGGGUGGGACCCCUCUCUCUGUGACAGAGAGCUGUUCUUUCCUUUUGUCUAUUAAACUCCUGCUCCAAUCUUACUCUGUGUGUGUGUCCGCGACCUCAAUUUCCUUGGCCGUGAGACCAAGAACCUUGGUAUUUACCCCAGACAACGAGGCUGCUUCAUUUUCUCUGUAAGUCACAGCAUAACCCUCUUGCACAUAGGACUACUACGCAGAACUUCAGUACUAUACUUUGAGGUCAUUUUAAAUAGUGAAAUCACUAAUUAAAAGCAUGAAAAUGUGAAAAAAAAGGACACUAAAUUGCCCAUGAAAGGGCAUUUGUUCUAUAGUAUGAGAGCUGAAACAAGAAGGCAGACUGUCAUCUUGCUCAACCUCCGAAUGAGUUGUGUCUGAUGACUCGAAUUUCUUUACCACUCUGGAUAUGUCGGCAAAUGACCAUAAAAGAACCAUACAGGUUGAUUUUGGAGCUCCAAUAAAUUUUGGCAAGUAGGUAAAUUCACAGGUGUGGAACAACAGUUGAUUCAUAGGAAUAACAAGGGUCAACUGUACAUGAUAGAAUUACCAGGUAAAGGAUUUGAAGUGUG
rnacentral:lncRNA from 1 species